GUGGCCAUGGGUAACUCAAGGUGGUCACUCAUGGUGGCCAUGGGUCACUUGAGGUGGUCACUCAUGGUGGUGAUGGGUCACUUGAGGUGGUCACUCAUGGUGGCCAUGGGACACUUGAGGUGGUCACUCAUGGUGAUGGGUCACUCAAGGUAGUCACUCAUGGUGGUGAUGGGUCACUCAAGGUGGUCACUCAUGGUGGUGAUGGGUCACUCAAGGUGGUCACUCAUGGUGGCCAUGGGUCACUCGAGGUGGUCACUCAUGGUCAUGGAUCACUUGGGGUGGUCACUCAUGGUGAUGGGUCACUUGGGCUGGUCACUCAUGGUGAUGGGUCACUUAAGGUGGUCACUCAUGGUGGUGAUGGGUCACUCAAGGUGGUCACUCAUGGUGGGGGUGGUCACUCUGGUGGGUCCCUCCUGGAGAUGGGUCACUCCUCAUCGUGCAGCUUCUGGAGUGGGGUG